GAGAUUAUCGUCAAUUCGUCAACUAUAUAACGCUCACGUGCACAACCCUAGUGAGCCAUUAUCAUAUCAUAAGCGACCCACCGGGCCGCCUCCUCAAUAUCAUCAUCAUCUAGUUGCUCCGUUUCCAUGACAAUUGAAUCGUUCAAUGUGCUGCACUUUCAAUUCAAUUUCUUGUGAAGCAAAACAGCAUGUUCUUAGCAAGUGCACCGAAAAAAUAUUGAAUGGCAGCAUAGGAGGAGUGGGUCGCAUAUGAAUCAUGUAAUCAAAGAAGUCAAUUGAUUUGUUGGGAGUGAUGUUACCUGAUUUACAGCUUUCUUCGAGUAAUUUGUCAAGUGAGGUUCGGUCUUUGACAGCGCCGUAUUCAAUUUCGUGGUUUCGUUUUUGGACGUGAUAUGGGUAAGUAAUUUCGAUUGCCUUCAUACAACACAAACAAAAAAGAAAGAGUUUUAUCUUCUUUUUAGAUCUGAGCAAAAAGAUUAUAACGUUAGAUUUUAACCUUUUUUAGUAAUGUCUUUGCAGUCAGAAAAAAAAGGGUUGGAUUUUCUAUUCCGUAAAAGGAAAAGAUCAUGCAUUGGCCGUCGCUGUACUUUAAAUUUGUCAAAAGCUGCAAUCGAAGCUCCUUAAAGAUCAUGUAUCACAACACGGGCUUGCAAUCUCAUUUCUUCAACUACUGGGUCUGGCCAUUUCACUUUCAAAAGCUUUAUCACAAUCUGAAUAUGAACUGUGAAAGGCCGAACCUCACCUGACAAAUUCCUUGCAGGAAACUGUAAGCAGGUUACAUACCCCCAACGAAUCAUCCUGCUUCUUUGAUUACAUUAUUCUUAUACAACCCACCCCUCCCAUAUUGUCAUUCAAUAGGUUGUUUGUUGUAUUUGCUAAGGAUUAACUUGGCAUUCUCAUAAUGUUGUUUUGCUGUGCAAGAAGAGAUUGAAUAAUAAUAAUAAUAAUACCAUAUAUUGCGUUUGUUUACUUUCUUUGUUGUAACUAUUAUGUUUUAAUUCCAAAUAGAGGUGCUCAGCUGUGUUAGGUGUUAAUGCUAAUGGUUACUGAUUGCAGCACAACUGUUUCUAUUUCAUUUCAGAAGCGGUAAUCCAAUUCUUGCUCAAUGUCCCGUGUCCCUUCCUUCUUUUACCGGGUGAUGAUGAAUCUAAUGGAAAAUAUUGACUGCAAAAUAGCUGUUCCAAUAUCAUAUAAUUUGGAUAUUGGAUUCAAAGGGGGCAUUUUGUCCCAAUUAUUGGAUUUGAUGGAUGUUUUAUUUUAACAAACGCAAGCAAGUUUAAGGAUCUGCUCUCAAUGUUCAUAUUUGUACAAAGAGUUUGUGGUUUGGCAUAAUCCUUCGUUGUAACCCUAGAACCAAAGGCGACCGUCACCUAGAGCAGCACAACACUUCAGAUCAAAAUCAUCCAAAAAUUUCACAAAUCAUUACCAACCUUAACUAAUGUUGUAGAAAAGCAAUUAUUCAAAACCGUUAGAACCUUCGAUGGCUUGCGUCAAGCAAAACAUCAUGUUCUUAGCAAGUUCACCGAAAAUAUAACGAAUGAUGACAUAGGAGAGGGGUUGCAUGUGAAUCAUCUGAAGUGCUUUGUUGUGAGUAAUGUUACCCGAUUUACAGUUCUCUUUGAGAAUAUCUUCUCAAUGGGGAUUGAUCUUCCACAGCUGAGCAUUAAAAUUUCGUUGUAUGCUUUUUAGACGUGCAGAGUAAGAAAAUUGUAAACCGGUAACAUCUCUCUCAAUGAGCCACUCAAGCUUUCUUACAUUAUUCAUGCACAGCCCACUCCUCCCGAUCCCAUGUUGUCAUUCAAUAGGCUUUUGGUUUACUUUGCUGAUAAUUAACAUCUUGGUAAUGCUAUUUUGCUGUUUAUGUCUUUACCAUAAAGAGUGCUGUAAAUGUUAUGGUAUCCUUGCUGGGAUAUGCUUUGUAAGCAAUUGAACUCACUCUUGGAAUUAGAGCCUGCAAUUUGUAUGAAACGUCACCAGCCUCGUUAUGAUAUUUGCUUAUCUAUAUAUGUCCUAUUUUCCAGGGAGAUGGAGUCGGUCGUUAGCAAGCUUUACAAUCUUGAUUCAUACAUUCAACCGCAACAAUCCAACUCAAG
rnacentral:lncRNA from 1 species